UAUCUUUGAGAAUCCUUCUAUAGUCCCAAGCUCAUUUGAGGUAGAAGCUAUUCUUAACAGGACCACUGUGAAUGGUACCAUACCUCUAGACAUCAUACUUGAUACUAUCAAAGCAGGGGAAAUCGUUACUUCUACACCAGUGCCUGUCACAAAUGUAACUGUUGAAUCUACCACCAUGAAAUACACAUCGAGUACAAAUGAGUACACAAACACCACAUCUAGUGGCUUUCCAUGGAUGGUACGCUGUUCACUAAUGACUAUAUAUCCAGCCAUUAU